rnacentral:lncRNA from 1 species
AGUUUAACAGGUGAUUUGUAUUCACCACCAUUAAGGGCAGUGCUCACCGCUCUGUCCUGCAGGCUGGCUGCACACCACAGGGAACUGCUCGUUGACCCCAAGCUUUCCUCUGCCCAAUUAUCCUGGUUAGCUUGCAGGCAGCCUCGGGAGCGGGGCAGGGAACAGGUCACACCGAGGGACUCGUCCUCCCGUGCCCCUGCCUGCCCUCAGGCUGGGGGCAGGUGCUGGGCAGGGGUGGCUCCUGGAGGGUGUCAGGUCACAGCAGCCUCAAAGCCAGUUGGGAAGAGGAAAGUUCCAGUCCUGGGACACCCCUUGAGCACCUGCACUGGAGCCCAACGCCUGCGAGACCUCAAGGGCCGGAGCUGUUCCAGUGCUGUGAUUCCCAUCCAGAAGCCCCAAAAGUGGACGUGGGGGUGAAACUGGGAGACCUGAGACCCGCUGCCACCCACGAGCACGCCUAAUUCCUAUUUUCCUCCAAGCCCAUCCCGAGCAUCUCCCUGUGCUGCCAGAGCAGAGAUUUGUUCUCCAUCUGGGAAUAUUGGUGCCUUCUGGAGCAGCCCUGAACUCUCCAUUAGACCAGUUGCUUUCUGAUUUGGAGGGGAGCAAAGAGUUAAAAUUUAUUCCAUCCACCUGUAUAUUUUCCCAAGCCUUCUGAUAGCAAUCAAGAAUGCAGGAAAUGGUGUAUUUAAGGGGUGAAUUUGCCAAAACUGUGCCACAAGUCAAACUUAUAAAGCAAAGUUUAUUUGUAAAGUUACAGAAGGCUGAAGUAUCUCCUGUUGAAGGGGCAAGUGCUGGAGCUCAUCAAGGCACAGAUCAGCCCUGCUGGGUUAUAGAGGGACCUUUGACUGUUGACUGGGAUCAUUUCAGCUCGUUUGGAGCCCUGUGAGGGACCUGACAGGGCUCAGCACCACUGGAAUUGGUGUCUAUCUGUGCUGGAUGGUGGGAGGCUGUGGUGGGGUACUGGGAUGUGACCCCAGCCACACAAGGACCACGAGUUCUUGCCCAUGAACCCAGCCCGCCCCUGUGUGCUGCUUCCCAGGGAUCCUCAAAUCCCUAAAGGCUCUGCGAGGAUGUUUUAUAAACUCUUCCUGUGCUGAAGUGGCAGCCACCUCGGUGGUCACUGCACCCCUAGUGCAAGGGCAGCACAUCAAACUUCAUUAGAUAUUAAAAAAUGAAUUGUGUUUGCAUUCCUUGCA